CGGCCACCCAUAGUCCACACGCGUUGGCCAGUGAUGAGCGGAGGGAGGAGGCGAGCUCGGCCGCCAAUUUUCACGGUCACCGGCGGCCGGACGCGCCCCGAUCGGGCCGGAGAAGCCGCCGGCCGGAAAAAUUUAUCUCUCCUCUUUUCUUGUGUUUUCCGGCCAACCCAGUCCAAAUUCAACCUCCUCUCCCCCUAUUUUGGGUCCUCUGAGUUCAAAAAUGGCCUCCAAUCUCAAAAAUUCGAAGCGGUUUGCGAGAUACGAGGAAUUGAAAACCGGCCGAAGCUUUUCGGCCAAAUUCCGGCCACCUCCGACGGAGUUGGGGUUGAUGGAGACCGGGUUUGUAAUCCUCGUCGCUCAAGCUUCGAUUCGGUAUAUUAUUCGACUAUUUUGGAUAACGUUUGUGUUUGACCCCCCGGGUACCGGGUAUUAUUUAUCCGAAUAAAAUAUUAAUUUAUUUGACUGUGUGUGAAUUGUGUUCUAGGAGCACCGGUGAGUCAUGGAAUUGAUCCCAUGGUGGAUCAUGGUUUAAUUGUGUGCUCCAGGUGAGUGACCCACCUUUAAUAAAUAUUUUGGGAUAAUUAAUUAUAUUUAAUUGCUGUUAAAUUGGUAUCUGAAAUUAUGCUCAUGUGGUGGAAUUUAAAUAUAGUAGGAAAAAAAAUAUUGUUUUAUAUAUAAUUACCCAUUGGUGCUAAAUGGAAUUUUGGGGUCAUUAAGAAAUUCUCGAUUCUUAUUUUAUGGUGAUUAAAUGGUAUUUAUUAUGCAUGAGCAAAGUAUAUUUCGGUAAUAAUCGUACGUGGUUUUAAGUAUUACUUUUUAGGCAUAAUUGGUUUGAAUAUUUAAGAAAAUUAUUUGUUCAAAUUGGUGGUUUAAUUUUAUAAAUUAUGCCCGCUGUAUUUUAAUCGUUGAACCUCGUACUACGAGAAAAUUAUGGUUUUGUUUGUUAUCGAUGUUUUCGUACCGGUUUGUUGAAUAAAAAUAUGUGGGAUGGUAAUUGAGAAAUUUUGGUAUAUUUUCCACGGUAAUUUUGGAAAAACGGUACGGUUGGUGUAAUAAUUAUUUUAGACGCACUCAUACAGUAUUGGUGUUCUGGUGUAUGGACACGUGGUUUAGCGCGCAAGAAUUAUGUGGUUUAACGCGCAAGUAUUAUUUCUCCCGUAGUUGCCAUUGGACCAUGGGCAGGCAAGUAUGUUAUUGGCCACAACCACCCCCCUCCUUGGCCGGGAUGAUGGUUCAGCAGCGGUAUUGUCAGGACGCCGAAGUGCCGUUUGCAAGUUUCUCUCUUUAAUCCCCCCCACCAGUCGGUGCUCAGGACGCUGGGUAUCGGAGGGCAUCAUUGGUAUAUGGUGUGGUGCACAAGUACAAAUUUUUCGGAUAGAAAUUUCAAACCCCAAAGAGUACAAAAUUAUUUAUUAUAAUUUAUUGCAGUUUAUUUAUAUUUGGGGUGUUUAUUUAUUUAUUUGUUGUUUAUUAAAUUAUUUGGUCCCUUGGUUUUCGGGAAGUACGAACAAAGGGUUUUGUGAAAAGGUUUUAAAAGGGGAACUUUUCCAACCGAGAGAAUUGUAAGGGUUUUAAGAGAAAUUAUUAUUUCCAAGUAAUUAUUAUUUACCUACGCUAUUACCGUGAUAUUAUAUUGUAUAGUAGAUAGGGUCACUCACUGAGAUGAUUAGCAUCUCACACUCUUAAAUUCCGUUCCUCUAGGUCCAGGUUGGAGACGUUGAUUGUCCGAGACGAGCCCAACGUCUCAAUUCGUUGCCGAAGGUUCAAGAAGUAUUUCUUCCCUUUUUCCUCUCCAUCCUGUAUUACUUCUUAUCUAUCAUUGUAUAAAUUUCACAUGUAUCUGUAUAAUGCUCUGUAUACUAUAUUGGACGUGUAGUUGUUCUUAUGCACUGGGUUGCUGCUGUUAUUAUUUGAAGUGCUGAAAUUUGUGGAAUCAAUUUGUAGUAUUGUGGGAGGAAUAAGGGGAUGUUUUUAGAAGUGUGUUUUCAGUGCAGGUAAAUUUUGGUUAGUCCUACCUUUAGGAGAGGUGCUGUCGGAUUUUCCGUUGGAAGGUUCGGUGGUAUUUCCCUGGGAUCAGGGCUUGUCUAGGGUUCCAGGGAGAAAUUCUGGACGGGUCCUGACAAGAAAGCAUGCUCCUCUACACGUUGAAGCAUGGAUGAAGAUCAAUGAGAAUGAAAGAAAAUGAAUCAGAGAUCUUUUACAGUUUAAGUUUGAUAUUGACCUAGAAGAUGAGAGAUAUGUUAACUAUGUCAAUACUUUAAUGGGCAAAGCAUAUAGUGAUUUUUGUCAUAGACUUCAUAUUCGCUUUUGGAGUUUGAGACUAUCGAAGAAGCUAAACAAUCUACUCCUCCCUUAGGCUUAAAGUAAGUGGAUUGGCAUCGACUAUGUGAUUUUUUUGGCACCAAUGCAAAAUAUCUGGUAUACGUGAUUAAUUUUUAUUAUAUUUAUGGUUAUUACAUUAUACUUUCAAAUUGAUUAAAGGUACCAUGUGCAACAUCGUUCACAAGUAAACAAAAAAAAUCAUGAAAAUGUGCCUUAUAGUCAUUAUGGAGGAUCGAAACCCUUUGUAUAUGAUCUUCAGGAAAAAUCAAAGGACAAACACUAGGAAGGGUGGACUUUUUUCAUAAUAUGCAUUAUCAUCAUAAAAAAGGUUGGAUCAAUAAGAUAGCUCGACAAAGAUAUGAGGACAUGCAUCAAAGACGUUCACAACUAUGUGAGGAAGGAUUUGAAUUGGUGGAUGAGAAUGUGAUUGCUGAUGAAGUAUUGGGAACUAGAGCAGGAUAUAUACCCGGCAUGGGAUAUGGUCCGAAACCAGCCUCAUAUUCUCGUAAAAGACAACCAUCACCAGGUACAAUUGCUUUGCAUGAGUGAUUGUCAAGUUUGAAAGAUGAAUAUGACUCAUACAGGCAACAAAGUGAAGAACGGAUGACAAUUUUAAAAGAAAAAUAUGACUCAUAUAGGCAACAAAAUGAAGAACGAAUGUCAAAAUAUGAAGAAGAUAUGAGCCAAAUAAAGAGUUUAUACGACAAAUUAUGGUACAACACUCUUGCUCUGGUGAUGGUACAUCUGUUUGUUUUCCUCCACCCCCUCCACCCCCUCCAUCAGCUGCUUGUUGAUAAAGAUGAAUAUUUUCAUUUUAUUGUGGUAGCUUUUGGAUUUUUAUUCACUUUUGGAUUUUAUUGUGGUAGCUUUUGUUCACUUACUUUUGUACAAUAUGAAAAUUUGUAUCAUAUUUGUGUUGA